rnacentral:rRNA from 1 species
GGGUCAUUAGGUUGGUCGUGCCACCGGUACGUACUGGUCUCACUGAUUCCUCCUUCCUGAAGAACCGUAAUGCCAUUAAUUUGGUGUUGCGGGGAAACAGGACUGUUACUUUGAAAAAAUUAGAGCGUUUAAAGCAAGCUAACGCUUGAAUACAUUAGCAUGGAAUAAUGAAAUAGGACGAUCGAUCCUAUUUUGUUGGUUUCUAGGAUUGACGUA